rnacentral:ncRNA from 1 species
UACCUUUGACACCGUUAUGGUGAAUGUAUCACCAAUCAAGUGAUGCGUUUGAAAAGGGAAUCCGGUUAAAAUCCGGAACUGCCCCCACAGCUGUAACCUCAUUUAGAGAGCAACUUUCUUAGGUCACUGAGCGAAUGGAAAUGCCGGUUAAGACGUAUUUCCGAUGUUCUUGGGAAGACCGUUGCUUUGAAGAGGAAGUCAGAAGACCUGCCAUAAUGCGCUGCCCGCC